AUUGAAGCAAAUUAUAUGUACAAAUAUUGAUAUAAGUGAUGAAUGAUUGACUUUUUUAGUUAUUUUGUUAGUGCAUCUUUCACCAAAGACAAACUCAUUUCAAUGGAAUUAUGUGACCUACCCUUAGUUAGUUAAUUCGCGUUUAAUUCGCGAAUUAUUCGCGACUUUUUCGAAAACCGAAUUAAACGCCGGCAUCCGAAUUUUUCCAAAACAUGCGUAAAAAAACGCGUUUUUUUCAGCAAAAAUAAUCAUCCGCGAAUUAUUCGCGAUUCGCGAAUGAUUCGCCCAAAGAAACGGCGGUCGCGGACUCGAUGCCGCGUCGUCGCCGCCAUCGUCGGCGUCCUCCUCCUCCAUUGCUUUCGUCGCGGAACUUUGGAUCACUGUAAAAUUCCUCGAAAAAAAAAAUUUCCGCUAAAAUUUUUUUUUCCAAACAAUAGUUGUCCCUCAAAUUAUUUUUGAAAAAAUUAUUUUAUAAAUUUUGGGAAAAAAAUCGAGUUUGUGACUUGAGACUUGAGAGCAAGAGGUAGAAAUGGCGCUGGGUUUGGGAAGAAGAAGAAGAAGGGAAAUCGGGGCUU
rnacentral:lncRNA from 1 species